AGAGUUUGAUCCUGGCUCAGAUUGAACGCUGGCGGCAUGCUUUACACAUGCAAGUCGAACGGCAGCACGAGUGCUUGCACUUGGUGGCGAGUGGCGAACGGGUGAGUAAUACAUCGGAACGUGUCCUAAAGAGGGGGAUAACGCAUCGAAAGAUGUGCUAAUACCGCAUAAUCUCUUUGGAGAAAAGUAGGGGAUCGAAAGACCUUGCGCUUUUGGAGCGGCCGAUGUCCGAUUAGCUAGUUGGUGAGGUAAAUGCUUACCAAGGCAACGAUCAGUAGUUGGUCUGAGAGGAUGACCAACCACACUGGGACUGAGACACGGCCCAGACUCCUACGGGAGGCAGCAGUGGGGAAUUUUGGACAAUGGGGGAAACCCUGAUCCAGCAAUGCCGCGUGAGUGAAGAAGGCCUUCGGGUUGUAAAGCUCUUUCAGUUGAGAAGAAAAGAUUGUGACUAAUAAUCAUAAUUAAUGACGGUAUCAACAGAAGAAGCACCGGCUAACUACGUGCCAGCAGCCGCGGUAAUACGUAGGGUGCGAGCGUUAAUCGGAAUUACUGGGCGUAAAGGGUGCGCAGGCGGUUAUGUAAGUCAGAUGUGAAAUCCCCGGGC
rnacentral:rRNA from 1 species